rnacentral:rRNA from 1 species
UCCUACGGGAGGCAGCAGUAGGGAAUAUUGGUCAAUGGGCGGAAGCCUGAACCAGCCAAGUCGCGUGAGGGAUUAAGGCCCUGCGGGUCGUAAACCUCUUUUGCCGGGGAGCAGAGGUCCGGACGUGUCCGGGCCGGGAGAGUACCCGGAGAAAAAGCAUCGGCUAACUCCGUGCCAGCAGCCGCGGUAAUACGUAUGGUGCAAGCGUUAUCCGGAUUUACUGGGUGUAAAGGGAGCGCAGGCGGUGCGGCAAGUCUGAUGUGAAAGCCCGGGGCUCAACCCCGGGACUGCAUUGGCAACUACCG